rnacentral:lncRNA from 1 species
ACUUCCUGGGGACUGGUGCAAUAAGGGGUGAUAUUCUUGCAAGGAUAGCUACAGGAUACUAGAGGCAGUUUGUGAAGUUGCAAUGCCUGUUGCAGUCUGUUGGAGUCGGUACUACCCUAGAAAAAGUGGCCGGGUGUGCAUUUCCUUAUUUGGUCUGUUUGUGAAGUUGCAAUGCCUGUUGAAAGUGAUUGCGGCACUAUUGUUGGUGAAUUCAAGAAUUUUAUGAUCCAAUUAAAUUUUAGACCAAAGUUUGUAGGGUCAUAUGUAAUGGGGCUGAUCAGUAGAUAUGGUUCAUUGAGCACAGAUCUGAAAGGGAAGCGUGUUUAUGAUCAUGUGCCCCCUUUGUCAACCGUAAACUAUGUUGUUGCAGUAACUUGGGUGUCAUUUGGCUGAAUUUACCCCCAUUU